ensembl:lncRNA
AGGCACAGUCGGUCCCGCAACCCUCACAGCGGCAAACACACACAUGUACACACGCUCACGAGGCCAGUACAUAGGGACACACGCCUGUGAACCACGCGCCGGAACUACCUCGAGGGAAGAAUCUGACAGAAUCCGCCUGGCACGCGGUCGGCCUCAGGGCGGCACCACGGACGCACUCGGCUGUCAAGACUGUGGACUCCAUUGUCUGGAGGGCUGUCGAGGCUCGCAUAGCCGGGACUGCUCCCGGGUGAGUUCUGUCAGCUCACCGCGCGAGAACGCGGGUACCAGAGUUCGGGAGGAGAGCCGCCCCGUCCGAGCGUGUCUGCGCCUGCACACUCAGAGCCCAAGCCCACCGGCUACCGACCGUGGACUACAUUUCCCAGAAGGCCCAGGGGGAGGAUGUAAACUUCCACCCCGAGGGCUCCCAACCGUGCUUUCUGGGUAGCCCAGCCACCGCAGGUGAGCUAGUAGAAGCCGGGGGAGAAGUUGGUGCUAGGUGAGGAGAAGCAGGAUUUGUCCGGAGUGGGGAUGGAGAUGCCGCCCAAAGUGAGGACCCCAGGGAGCCUUUUCUGCCUGCAGCCUCAGGCCUGUGCGGGCAGGAGGAGAAGAGGAAAGGGAUUGUGUGACUGUGAGUGUGUGCAUGUAUGUGGGGGUGUGUGUGUGUGUGUGUGUGCAGGACAAAGUCAGGCCUCCUGUCGGUGGGUGCGGUUGUCAGUCUGAUACUGGUACUUGGUUCAGUGACGAGUGUGACUGACCCACGCUCUUGCUGCCUUCCCCUCCCUCCCCUCAGCCCUGGUGUCUGCACAGAGCUAUGUCCCCAAGAGAAAAGUCCAAGAUUGAACCCCAGGAUGAAGGUUCCCAGCAAGAAGGCACAGUCCUGGGCUUGGGAUGGGGCUUUUAGAGCUGAAAGUGUCUCCGAAACAGACUCCGGGGAGGAAAUGGUGAGAGGGGUCCUUACUUGCAGGCAAUGUGGGUGUUGCUGCAUUUUUCAGAACCACAGCAUCCCCUUACCUCUGAUCCUAGGAGUCGGCUAUCGUGUCAGAGACAGGCUCCCAUCUGGUCACAGGCAUGAGGUAGAGCUGAUGUGGCCCUGGAGGGGACAUUAUGCGUCUGGCUGUGCUCUAAGAAAGGCUUGGUGUCUCAUGAUUUCCUUCUUCCCCAGUCCUGCCAGUUUUCGCAAAAAGGAUCCUGAAGAGAAAGGAAAAAAAUUUCCCCAUCUAAAAGUGCAGAUCAGUCCUGGCUUCUCUGGAUUCUGUGCUUUUCGAGUGGAGGAAGCCCAAAGAGGACUACCAAGUUCUUGCACUUCUACAACCAUGGCCCAUGUAAGUUCACGUUUCUCCUCCUUGAGAUGUUGUGGUUUUUAACUCAUGUGAUCACAUUUAUUAUCCUGAAACUUCCUUCCUGAGACAGCACUAUUGCUCAAGUUGCCCUCAGUCACUCUGAUCUCAGUGAAGGAUGGAGCCACACAACUUAGUGACCUUCUUCUUUGCCCCUCAUUUCUCUCUCCAGUGUUCACCUAUUUCGUCACCUCUCCAAGGACUCAGUCUUUCUCAGGACCAUUGGGUGAAGUUGCUUGAGGGAAAUCCUUGAACUUCUCUAGUUAGAGUCAUGAUUCCAUGACACAGAGAUGAUAGUCCGUUAGACUCCACAGACCUGAGUGUUUCAGGUUGAUACGAUGGAAUUUAGUGUUGAUUUUUUUGCACAUGAUGAGAUCUCAUAUUGUAAGAGGUUUAUAGGACUAGGUUGGAGUGUGAUUGAGGCUUGCAUGUCGGAAUCUCAAGGGUCUGUCCAAGGGGUCCCCAGAGGGAUAAAUAACAGGACAGAAGUCAGUUUUGUGCUUGAGGAGGGUGUGCGGGUCUCUAGUGACAUCAGUGUCAUUGUGGAUCAUCCUACAUCAGCAUCCUUCAGCUUAUGUAUACAAAUAAGGGUUCCUUAUGGAUCCAAAUAAGUGUUCCUGAUGGAUGGUGGUGGUAGCAGGUGGGAAGCCCUCCCAGAUCCCUAAUGGGGAAUGAAGAAAGGCUAAGGGACUGCGCUUUAGAAAGAAACACUAGGGCUUCCCUUGUGGCUCAGCUGGUAAAGAAUCCACCUGCAGUGUGGGAGACCUAGGUUCGAUCCCUGGGUUGGGAAGAUCCCCUGGAGAAGGGAAAGGCUACCCAUUCUAGUAUUUUGGCCUGGAGAAUUCCAUGGACUGUAGAGUCCAUGGGGUCACAAAGAGUCAGACAUGACUGAGCAACUUUUCACUUUUAAAGGGACUGGGGGAGACCUUAGACAUUUUGUCCAACCUAAAUGCCUAAAAGUGACAGAAGGAUUAGUCCGAUAUAUCCACAAGUUGGAUGAAUAGCCAGCCAGUAAAUAAAAGAAUUUGUCAUCUGUUGUGACAAGGGAAAAUGCUUAUGACAUUAUCUCAUAAUAAUGAAGCUGAGUAUUGAUUAAAUCAAAUGUCUGCCACUGUGCUGUGCUUAGUCAUGAUUGACUCUUUGCAACCCUAUGCACUGUAGCGUGCCAGGUUCCUCUGUCCGUGGGAUUUUCCAGGGAAGAAUACUGCGAGUAGGUUGCCAUUUCCUCCUCCAGAGGCUCUUCCUGACCCAGGGAUCAAACUCGUGUCUCUUGUGUCUCCUGCAUUGGCAUGCGGAUUCAUUACCAACUGUGCCAAAUCAAAUGUCAGUAAAGUCCUUUCUUAGAGAUUUGGAGUAUUUGGGGGAACAACAAUUCAUUACUUAUUUUUUCUUUUAAUUUUUUGAAAGGAAAACAGAACAUAACUCACAUUUAUUCACAACUUAAACUAUUCACAUGAUAGGCGUGUGCUUAUUUAUAUGAUUUUGUUUCACUGGAAAACUUUAUUCAUUCAUUACAUGAUACACAGGACAUUCUAUUUGUAACAACUGUAUUCUUCAAAAGUAUAUAGGCACUCAAUUUUACAAAUUACUAAUUUUCUUUUUCUUCCAUACAUGUUACAGGCUUGAUGCCAGGUUAAGUGCUUGUUAUAUUGCCUCUUUCCUGCAAAGCAGUCUUCCCCUUUUGAAAAUACAGUUAAAAUAUUGUUUAUAAUACAUGGGUC